GGGCGGAUAGUGUAGUGGCUAUCACGUUUGCUUUGCAUCAUAGUUAUCUCCUCUAAAAGAGAGACUCGCCAGCAAAAGGUCCCGGGUUCAAUCCCCGGUCCGUCCA
rfam:Tilletiaria anomala TBC 951 K437scaffold_147, whole genome shotgun sequence.